CUAGAUUGUAAUUAAGUAAGAAGCCAUAUCAGUGGCUCCCAUCAGCACUCCCUUAUUGUAAGCACCUGCACUGUGGUAGACCUUUACAGACAGGAAUCUCCCCAGGAGUUUUGAAUGGGUGACUCCUGCAAAGUCAGCUCAUCAUCAUCCAGCACAACAGCAGCAGCAGCAGUGCAGCUCCUUUGGGAUGCUUGCUGAUUCUGUGAUCUUAAAGGUCUUUUCCAAACUAAAUGAUUCCUUGAUUAGUGCCUUAUGCCUUGCUCUGCUGCAGGUGAUCUCAAUAGCUAAAGCUAAAUACCUACAAAUCACUCUUUAAUUACAAACCAUGUUGAUUACAGUUAGUUGUCUGACUUCUAGGAAUUGAUAAAAAAUGACCUGCUUAAGAAGUUACUAGUAAGUCUAAUGUGCAAAACCAUUGGAAAGUAAUAGGGUGCAAUAAUACCUUCCUGUGCACAGCAAUUGGCUUUUGCAUCAAUUUUUCGUGGUGAAAUUUCCCCUGGUGAAAUUUGAGAACAGCUUAAUGGAAGCAAGUGUUGCAGUGAGAGACCAAAGGAUGAAUGGAAAUUAAUCAUGGGAGAGAAAUGAGGCUGUCAUGAGGCAGAGGCCAGGCUCUCCUACCGUGCCUACAGUGAGAGGGACUGAGGAAAUGGACUCACGCUGCGACAGUGGAGAUUCAGAUUAAAUACCGGAAUUAUUUUUUUUUUCACUGUUUGAGUGAUCAGGCAUUGGAAUUGGUUGCACAAGGUGGUGGAGUUGCCAACCCGGGAGGUUUCCAAGCGGCCUCUGGAAAUGGCACUGGGUGAUACAGUUUAGUGCUUACCUAACAGUGGUGGCGCUGGGCUGGCGGGUGGACUGGAUAAACUUGAAGAUCUCAUGCAAUAUUGAUGAUUCCACGAUGAUUCUACGAUUCCCU